rnacentral:rRNA from 1 species
GAUGAACGCUGGCGGCGUGCUUAACACAUGCAAGUCGAACGAAGCACUCUAUUUGAUUUUCUUCGGAAAUGAAGAUUUUGUGACUGAGUGGCGGACGGGUGAGUAACGCGUGGGUAACCUGCCUCAUACAGGGGGAUAACAGUUGGAAACGACUGCUAAUACCGCAUAAGCGCACAGGAUCGCAUGAUCCGGUGUGAAAAACUCCGGUGGUAUGAGAUGGACCCGCGUCUGAUUAGCCAGUUGGCAGGGUAACGGCCUACCAAAGCGACGAUCAGUAGCCGACCUGAGAGGGUGACCGGCCACAUUGGGACUGAGACACGGCCCAAACUCCUACGGGAGGCAGCAGUGGGGAAUAUUGCACAAUGGGGGAAACCCUGAUGCAGCGACGCCGCGUGAGCGAAGAAGUAUUUCGGUAUGUAAAGCUCUAUCAGCAGGGAAGAAGAAUGACGGUACCUGACUAAGAAGCACCGGC